UGGAAUUUCCACAGGUCACUGCAUUUC
rnacentral:piRNA from 1 species